CGUGAGAUCAGGUGGUCCUGGAGCCCACUGCGGGGUGAGCUUUUCCUGUGAGUAGCCUGAGGCCAGAGAGCAGUAGGAACCUGUGGCCUCCCAACCCUUGUCUUCUCCUGCAAAGAACAGAGGAUUGGGAUUCACGCCAGAAGGUACAGAAAUGGCCAACACAGACGAGAUGCCUCAAGUCUAGGUUAUGCGCAUGGAAUCACAUGGUAUCAUUCCUCAUUUCUGGAGUAAAAGGCAAGAAUACUGACAACAAGCAGUGCCGGGCAGCUGUGGGACAGGUGGAGCCCCCAUGGACCCUGCUUCUGGCGUGCAGUUUGUCAAUAUGACACUCAAAAUUCUGCGGAAGCUUUGAUCCAGUGACUUACCUCGAAUAAUUUAUCUUCAUUUUUUAAAAUUUAUUUAUUUAUUGAGACAGGGUCUCGCUCUGCCACCCAGGCUGGAGUGCAGUAGCACGAUCGCAGCUCACUGCAGCCUUGACCUCCGGACUCAAGCAAUCCUCCUGCCUCAGCAUCCCUCAAAUAGUGCAACCACAGGUGUGCACCAACACACCCAGCUACUUUUUAAAUUUUUUUGGAAAGAUGGGGUCUCACUAUGUUGCCCAGGCUGAAUUUAUCUUUAAAGGGCACGAAUAAGAUGAGUGGACAAAGAAGACCCAGUUAUGUCAUGGGGAAACCUGGAAGCCACCCCAAGAGCACAGCUUUGCAAGUGGAUGAGAGUUCCAAUCUCAGCCCAGCUGUGUGAUUCUGGGCAACUGUCCUAACCUCUCUGAACUUCAGUUUCCUCAUCUGUAAGGUGGGAAUAAUGGCAAUACCCAACCCCUCCAGGGCCGUCUGAGGAAGACAUAAGACUACAUGGGUAGAAUGCUUACCUUUAGGCACACAAGAGACAAUUUAUAUAAAGGAAAAAGUUGGUGGUCCCAUAUGAUGGAUUAUUAAACAGCUUUACAAAUAAAGAAGAGCCUCUCUGGGCCUCAGUUUCCCUCUUGAACAAAGAAAAAUUGGUCCUGGGAGCUCACUGCGUGGCUCCUCGACUCUCUGCAGCGAUCCCUCCCUUCCUGGCCCUGGCUGUGACUCCCUGGCAGCUGAGCAACUGGGUAGGAGAGGGACAUGGCUCAGUCUGUCUGUUGGGCCAUGCGUCAUUCUCAGCUUAGACCCAGCCUUGCCUGUCACAGGAGAGGGCGGGGGAGGGGAGGAGAGCCCAGAGGCCCAACUCCUCUACCCCUGGGCCCUGCCCCUCUGGCUCAGCCAGCAGGAAAGGCCAGUGGAAGGUGGGGGGCUUGUCUCACUGCCCUCUCCCCCAGGGAGGGGCAUUUGUGGCCAGAUCCAGUUUCUGGCAGGACUGGUUAGUCCAGGUGGCCUGGAUGGAUGGCCGAGAUAAGGUCUGUGCAGAUUGGCCAGGCUGGGCAGGAGACCCAAGCGGGACAAAGACAGGAUAGCCCUGGCCCAGCCUGAUUCACAGGUGGGGUUAGGAGCUGCCCCUGUCUUGUCCCAGCCUCUGUCACCAGAUUUUGGGGGCCAGGCACCCAGGUAUCCUCUAGGAACCUCCCGUCACUGCCUGCGGUGAGGUGGCACAGAAAGAGGUGAUCCUGGGGAGAGGUGUUACAGGUCCAAGGUGGCCCAGCACUUGAGGGGGUGCUGCAAGGAAGAGUUUUUACCAGCCCCUGAUGAGGCUCUAAAGCCCAGAGACAGCAUGACCUGGGGCUGCCUGGGUGUGAGGUUGUUGAGGAUUCUGGGUUGCAGGUAGGCACCGUCUUGGUUUCUCUGUCUCUGUCUGACAUUCCAGACGCUCCCAGGGCCUGGCUGGGCCAGCUUCCCUCAUGGGCUUGGUUCUCACAGACCCAGUCACAAAAACCAUGCUGCCAGCACUUAGUACAGCCUCAGGCCUAUACCACCUCCGUCCCUCAUCAGUGGGGUGCCCUCUGCCUGGUGGUUCCUGCCAGCCUCAGGCCAGGGGUUCAGAGAGCAAGUCUCUCUCAUAGGUGCUAUAGCCCCAGGGACCCAGGGCAGAGCACAACUCAGCCUCCCAGGCUGCCAGCAAUUCACUUACUAUACUGAACAUUCUGUUUCCUCCUCCACGACCACAGCCAUCCCUCUCCAUGCCCUGUGUGCUCUGCUGCCACGGUCCCCUUGCCCUUGCCUCUGGUCUGGUUCACCAAUGGGGACACCAGCUGAAGACUGGAAGGGUGGAAGGAGAGAGUGGCCAGAACUACUCAUCCAGCAUCUCCUGGGUUGAGGCUGGCCAUGUCCUGACUAAGAGCCACAGUCCCCACUGUGGUGGGAGGGUGGCCCUCUCCUGGGCUGCAGCUUGGGAGAGCUCCAGUAACAGCCCUGCUCCCACUCCCUAGAGGCAGGAAUGGUGGCUUCCUGCUCUCUGUACUGUCACCAUCCCUUAAGCAGCAUCUGUAAGUGGCCAGCUCAUUAAGCCCUUUCCCCUAGUUUGCAGACUACGUCUCCUGCCAGGAUCGGAUCAGUAAACCUCAGGACUCUCACAGCCCUACAGGGCAGCUGGAGCCAUCCCAUUUACAGAUGAAGAAACUGACUCAGAAUCAAAAACAACAAAUCCGGAGCCAUCACAUUACUCAACUUCAAACUAUACUAUAAGGUCAUAGUCACCAAAGCAGCAUGGUACUGGUAUAAAAAUAGUCACAUAGACCAAUGGAACAGAAUAGAGAACCCAGAAAUAAAGCCAAAUACUUACAGCCAACUGAUCUUUGACAAAACAAACAAAAACAUAAAGUGGAGAAAGGAAACCCUAUUCAAUAAAUGGUGCUGGGAUAAUUGGCAAGCCACAUGUAGAAUGAAACUGGAUCCUCAUCUCUCACCUUAUACAAAAAUCAACUCAAGAUGGCUCAAAUACUUAAAUCUAAGACCUGAAACCAUAAAGAUUCCAGAAGAUAACAUCGGAAAAACCCUUCUAGACAUUGGCUUAGGCAAAGCCUUCAUGACCAAGAACCCAAAAGCAAAUGCAACAAAAACAAAGAUAAAUAGAUGGGACCUAAUUAAACUGAAAAGCUUCUGCACAGCAAAAGAAAUAAUCAGGCUGGGCGCAGUGGCUCACGCCUGUAAUCCCAACAUUUUGGGAGGCUGAGGUGGGCGGAUCACGAGGUCAGGCGAUCGAGACCAUCCUGGCUAACAUGGUGAAACCCUGUCUCUACUGAAAAAUACAACAAAAAUUAGACAGGCGUGGUGGUGUGCACCUGUAGUCCCAGCUACUCAGGAGGCUGGGGCAGGAGAAUGGCAUGAACCCAGGAGGCAGAGCUUGUAGUGAGCCUAGAUCGCGCCACUGCACUCCAGCCUGGGCGACAGAGCGAGACUCCGUCUCAAAAAAACAAAAAAGAAAUAAUCAGCAGAGUCUGUUAAGACAACUAUAAAGUAGGAGAAAAUCUUUACAAUCUGUAUCUCUGACAAAGGACUAACAUCCAUAAUCUACAAAGAACUCAAACAAAUCAGCAAGAAAAAACAAACAAUCCCAUCAAAAACUGGGCUAAGGACAUGAAUGGAACUAAAAGUAAAUCUACCAUUUGAUCCAGCAAUCCCACUCCUAGGUAUCUACACAGAGGAAAAGAAGUCAUUAUACAAAAAAUAUACGUGCACACACAUGUUUAUAACAGCACAAUUUGUAAUUGCAAAAAUAUGGAACCAAUCUAAAUGCCCAUCAAUCAACAAGUGGAUAAAGAAAAUGUGGUGUAUAUAUACCAUGGACUACUACUCAGCCAUAAAAAGUAACAAAAUAAUGACAUUCGCAGCAACCUGGGUGGAAUUGGAGACCAUUAUUCUAAGUGAAGCAACUCAGCAAUGGAAAACCAAACAUCGUAUGUUCUCACUCAUGUGUGGGUGCUAAGCUAUGAGGACGCAAAGGCAUAAGAAUGAUCCAUUCAUUGGACUUUGGUGACUCAGGGGAAAGGGUGGGUGGUGAGGGAUAAAAGAUUACACUUUGGGUACAGUGUACACCACUCAGGUGAUAGGCGCACCAAAAUCCCAAAAUCUCAGAAAUCACUGCUAAAGAACUUGUUAAUGUAACCACUUGUUCCCCCAAACCCUAUUGAAAUAAAACAAGCACCACUUGUUCCCCCAAAAACUUAUUGAAAUAAAAAAAUUUAAAAAUAAAACAAAAAAAGAAAAAGAAAAGAAAAGAAAGGAACUGAAGCUCACAGAGAACUCGCUUCCCCACGGGGCCUUCCUUUAUGGGACCCAAGAGCUGAACCACAAAUGACCUCCCCCA
rnacentral:lncRNA from 1 species